GAGACACCCCUAUGGAGCAGUACUUGCUUCAGUGGGCCCUUGGUGCUCACUGAAUAUGCCCCUCGAGUGUGUCGCU
rfam:Myotis lucifugus cont2.4421, whole genome shotgun sequence.